AGAAUAAUUACUUAUAAAUAUAUUCCUCAAUACUUAUGAAAUAUUUAAUAAUUUUUUAUUUUUUUAUUUCAAAUAUAUUCCUCGUAUUUUUUUUUCGUUAUUCAAAAAUAACUCCAUUGUUAAUAUUUGGUAACCAAUCUCAGAUUAAAUCUGAAUUAAAUUUCUACUAGAGUUAAAAAAAAAUCAAAAUAUAUAUCUUUUUUACUUAUAAUUUAAGGACAAAUAAGAAAAAUUGGUGAUGGUAGAAUAGUGUACAUUUGAAUUGAAAGGGUAAAAUAGUCUAAAUAAUUCUUUUGUCCAUAAUUUAAAGAUAAAUAAGAAAAAUUGGUAAUGGUAGAAUGGUAGUUUCGAAAGCGCAAAACAGUAACUUUACAGAAAUAAUGGUUGUUCUUAGAAUUUAACUCUAGAAAUAUAUUUCAAAAAACUUGGAACAUUAAAUGAGUAUUUUUUAUAUUAGCCUUCUAAGCGGCUACGGGCUUCUUUGGUUCCUUGGAAAAUAAUAGCAAAUUAUUUUAUGAAGAAAAAAGUUUUUUAUGGAAUUUCUAGUUUCUGUAGUUUGCUUCGAUGGAAAAGAAAAUUAGCUUUUCAUGUAUGAAAGUUUAGUUGGUAAGGAAAAAAAAAACAGUAUUUAAUUUCUAUUUCACUUAUUUGGUUAGUUAAAAUGUAUGGUAUAUAAACAUCUUUUACUAAAGAAGGGUAAGAUUACCAAUCAAUUAAAAUUUAAUAUAAUAUUCAUAAACUCUUUACAAUAUAAAUAAUAAUUCUUAAAUAAAAAUAAAUUUUAAUUAUAUUUUAGGAUAGAUAAUAUAAUUUGACAAAAGCGACGGAAAUGACAGCUAGGAGAUGGAGAUGGUUAUUCUCACUGUGUGUAUGUGUAUAUAUAUAGUUUGGGGAUAUAGAGAUGACAGUGGGAGAUGGAGAUGGUUAUUGCUCAAACUAAAAAGACUCGAAAUGCAUAUAAAACCCCACAAGUCUCCACUCCCCAUGUACCUGUUUUAUCUCCAUUACUACUAUCACUAGCUUUCUCUCACUUGAUGGUGCAUAACU
rnacentral:lncRNA from 1 species